rnacentral:lncRNA from 1 species
CUGCUCUUCUCGUUUGUCGCAACUCAAAUGUCAGUUUUAUCCUUAACAAAAGUUCUCGUUUCCUCUUCGAACCUGUCAAAAGGAUAUAAUAAGCUAGGUUUGCCGAAUUCUGCAUGGGUUACGUAGGCGCUUAGCUGAGCUUUUUUGAGUUUUUAAAAAUAUUAUAUUAUUAUCAUAAAAUAAUAAUAUGUAAAUAAAAUUUAAUUUUUUUAUUUUUUAUUGAUGAACUACAAUCAAUAUGUAGAUUUUUAUUAAAAAAGAAAAUUUUCGAUCUAAAGAAGAACUUAUUUUAUUCUACAUAUGAAUAUAUAUGAUCAAGAUGAUUAAUUUCCUUUAAUUUUCAUCCACAAAAUGAUCUCAAUUUUUUAUUAAAAGAUAAAUUUACGUUUAUCAUAUCACAGUCAAGGGUAGAAUUGUAAAUCGCAAGCAUCCUCGCCUUGCGAACAAACCUCACUGACACCCUCAGCACACCCUAAGAUUCCCGCCUUUUCUGAACGCUCAAUGCUCACUUGUCUUUGACUAAACACGACAUUGCCAUGCCUCCCUGCCACGUCGCUCACCCAUUCCCUCCGUCCCACGUGGAAUGUAAAUUCACACUCGGAUGCAGAUCCAACGGUGCAGACUUUUCUCCUCACCCUAAUCCUGAUUUUUUUGUUUGGGACCCACCCUCCAGAUCCUUCCUCCUCACGUUUUUGCCGCCUAUUAAUAUAUUUUUUAAUACUCGACGUUAUAUAUAUAUAUAUUAUAAAUAAAACCAAACGUACUGUAGAGAAAAGCCCAGAGUCAAAAUCUCUCAAAGAAGAAACAAAAUGGAGGAAACGAGGAAGAGAGAAAGAGAACAAAACUUCAACCAAAACGACGACGUCUCAUCGGCUGCCUUGAAAAGGCCACGAGCUACCCUUGAAGAUGGCGGUGACGGCGGAGGAGAUUUAGGAGACGACAUAAUGGCGUGGCUUUCGAUGGACGACGACACGAUGAGUCAACUCAUGAACCUUCUAGACACGUCACCACCCAAUGCUGACUCAGCAACAGCUCGUACUACUAGAGUCAAGUUCAUCGACAACCCUUACAAGUCACUCGUGAUAUUUCAAUCGUCAUCGUCUUACGUCACCAUCAACGGAAACGAGGAGAGCUGCGGCUCCUCGUUCUCCGACUCGGAGUCGUCGGUGAUGGUGAGCGUGGACACGGCCGGGAUUGUGAAGAGCUUCCCUACGCGCGGGUCGCAGCGUGACUGUGAAGUAAGCGCGUGGAGUUCAAACGAGGAAGAGAAGGAGGUCGGUGGCUUUGGCUUUUUUGAGGGGGGAGGAGGAGAAAUAAUGGACGGCUGUGAUGGCUCUGAUUUGGAUGAUUAUGUGCUGCCCAAGUUUCUUGUACAGGAGCAGGAGGAGGCUCGGGCUCCUUUCUGAACCCUCAGUUAGGGUUUUAGGGUUUUUUGGUCGGUGGGGGUUUUAACUUUUAACACUGUUAAUAGAAAGAAAAUACGAGUUAAAAAUAUGAAUGAAAAGGAGCUUGUUGCUUUUUCUUGUAUUAUUUUUCUUUUUAAGUUUUAGCUUAUAUUCCCAAACAAAAAUUUUAAUUUUAAUUUAAAACUUGGAAACUAAUCAAUCGAGUACUCCAAUUUCUUUAAUGUAAAGGCAAAAGCAGCAAAGCCCAAACAUUUGUAGCAGAGGCUGAGGUUGGGGCUGGCUGAUAGCUCUUUCAAGGAAAUGGCCACACUGAUUACUGCUAGAACAGCCUGGAAACCUGGCCAUAUAAAGAAAGUAAGGGACAGGACGAUGAGAUAAUAUCAUAAUUAAGCAGCAUUAUUGUUGCACCAAUAGCCUUAUCUUUCUCUCUUUUUCUGUUUAAAACAAUACAAACCAGGGGUGAAAAAAAUAGGAUAAAACAAGAGCAAAAGUGCUACACACGCUACUGUGCUUAUAAUUACAUGUCUCGCGGCUCCUGAUCCUUGAUGAAGAGUAAUGAUAAUGAAUGUCAUAAAGUUGGAGCGUUCGGGACGGCUGCGUUGUGUUAUGUUCUAAGUUGUAUUAUAAAUAAUAAAGAAAGAAGAAAAAAUACGGUUGUCUGAGAGAACCGUUGUCUCUAGAAAAAAAGUAUUAAUUGAGUGAAUAAUCUCCUCUAUUCAUUCACUUUUCUAAUUUAAAUACAACACAGGUUACAUGACAAUGCAACUUACAAUAACUGAAUGAAACUGUUAGAAGAUAGUAAUUAAAAUACAUAUUAACUUACAUUACAACUCACUAACAUGACUCACUGGCUUAACUAAUAAAACUCAACACUAAUGGAACGUCUAACCAAUACUUAUGUAAACAACAUGCAUAAAUAAAUUAAGCUCACAUCACGUUGUCACGAACAGCUGCGUUGUCACAGCACAACUGCUCCACCCCUUAUAUUUAAGAGAAUUCUCUUAUAAUAUAAGGGGUAAAGCAACAACGUUGUGGCAGUACAGUUACCUCAAACACAUCCUUACUAACUAUUUUUUUAAUUUUAUUAGUGCAAUAAGUUCAAAAUAUUAACGAAUCAAUGACAAAAAUAUAUCAUUAUUCUAAUGAAAAUGCGCUACUCUUUUAUUCAUAAAUUUUACAAAUUUCAUAAAAUAUUGUAGGGUUAAAGGCAAAAUAAUAUUUCUUAAAGAUGCCUUUGGUACAUAAUUACAUGGGAUUGUAUUGCAUUAAGUAAUGUAGUCUCAGUUUCAUGCAUUAAAAGGCUACAACAGUUACUGCAUUCUGAGAAGUUCCAAGUUUCCCUUGGGUUUGCCUAAUGCAGCAUUUGGCACGUUAGCUAUUACUAAUAGCAUUGAAAAUAAUUUUAUAAAGUAUUAUUAAAUAAGAAUCUACAAAUAUUUGCCACCAAAGUCAUUAGUGGUCAUCGUAUUUCGAUGUCUUUUCAACUUACAUUUAGAACUAUUGCAAUCCUUAUCACUGACGCUACACAACUAUACAACUUCUGUCUACAACGCAACUUUUUCUUCACCGUAGAUCUAUUAUCAAAUUUUUGGAUAUGAGAUUUCUAAUGGUACUAAAUACAAGUUGAAAAGACUUUGGAGUAUGACAAUCGAUGACGAUUCAUCCUUAUUAUAGUUAAUAAAUUUAAAUAAUUAAUUUAAUAGAAAUAUUAAUAAAAUAUUAGUAAAUCUAAAUAACGUUAAUUUGAUAUAAUUAUUAAUAUAAAAUAUUUUAAUACGUAAAAUACAAUUUAUACAACAUGAAACAUGGUACUAUGUUAUAACUUAAUAUAAUGAAACGAAAUACACCCUAAAAUAAAAAUUUAUGUAUGCCAAAAUGAAAUCAAUUAAAAAAAAAAAAAAAGAAGAUCUCACGUUAGUGUUGCUUUGGGCGGAAAUUGGUAGUGAUUACAGGAUCUCAACUCGUGAUGUUUUGUACUCAAAACAAAUCUUCCAAGCUGCAAGAGGGUAUUUAUGCUCGCCAUGUCCUUUAUAUAAAAAGCAAAGGCUUGGGGGCGGGAUUCCCUUAAAUUGUACUAAUGAAUGUUUGACUCCGUUAAGAAAUUGAGUAAGAGCCUGCGGAAUUGACUCAAACUCACUAUAGGCUCGAGAAACAAAGAGAAGAUGUUAUGAACUGAGAUAUUCAGCAAUAAGAAGAAGGAAAAU